rnacentral:tRNA from 1 species
GCGAAAGUGGCGGAAUUGGUAGACGCACCAGAUUUAGGUUCUGGCGCCGAAAGGCGUGGGGGUUCGAGUCCCUUCUUUCGCACCA